AACUCACCAAGAUACGAAGAUACCGGAAUAUGGAGCGUGCACCCCCAGUAGCUGAUUCUCAGCGUUUAAUGCUGCUUAAUUUGAUAAAGGAACAUGAGAGUGUUAUCAACGACCGAUCGACGGGAAGUAGAACUUUGGAAAGGAAACGUCAGGCAUGGCAAGAAAUUACAUUGAAGUUCAAAGCAGGUCAAGCGCUGUUUCGACCACGUAAAACGCAAAGUGAAGUAGGAAGAUGCUGCUGUCAAGAAAACGCUAUGCAGAACUGGUGGUGGUCCUCCACCAGAUCUUCGAAACCACUCAGAAGAGUUUGUGAUAGCUGCAUCGCUGAUGACAGAAGAAUUGGUCAUGGAUAAAGACGUUUUUGAAACAUUUCAUCCAGUUGAUGAAACAGGAGAGCCCAUACAUGAUGUUAAAAUAAGUAUUACAGAGACACUGCCUUCAACCUCAGCACUAUUUUCAGGUAUUACGGAGCCACUGCCUUCAACCUCUCAUUUGCCUUCAACCUCAGCACAAUCAGAAAGUGGUGUUUCGUCUAAUCAUGAAUCAAGAUCCACAUUCCUUAAUCGGUCAGCUACAUCAUCACCGUCUUCAAUGGAACACUUAAUUUUUAAACCCAUAGUUCCCCAUGAAACUUCCUGUCCUUCAACGCCUAUUGUAACUCUAGGCAGAACUUCACCAAAAUUGUGCAACACAUCACGGGAUGUAUCUCCAAUACCUUGG